ACGACAUUCAUUAUUCACUUCUCUCCCAAAAAACCCUAGAAAGGCGUCGCCGUCGAGUCAUUACAGUGAAGAAGUCGCCGUCGCCGUCGAGUCUCCGUGUGAAGUCGUCGCGCCGUCGAUAGUCCUAAUCUUCCGUCCAAAUGCAUGUCUAAAGUUUCGCUCGCCGUCGAGUCUCCGUGAGUGUUUGAUUCGCCGUUAUUGCUUUCGCCGUUAUUGCGUUCGCCGUUAUUGCUUUCUUCUCCGGUGUAUUUCCUUCGCCGUAGAGUUUCCUUUGCCUUUCGUUUCGAUCUAGCAAGGUAACUCUGUUUCCUCCUUUUCUAUUGUUUUCACCGGAGAAGUUUGUUCUUCCUUUCAAAUUUGGUAUCUUCAUUCAACAGUAUCGACCACAGUCAUCUCAGUAGCUACAUUGUUCUUCCGGUUUCCAGUAAGAUUUAACCUAAUUUCAUCGGAAUUUUUUUUGUAAGAUUCGUUCGCUCUUUUUCGAUUUACUAAAUCAAACAAAGUCUGUGGUACAAAAAAAGUCUAUCGAAGAAAGUCUGUGGUGGAUCAAA